rnacentral:rRNA from 1 species
UACGUAGGGUGCAAGCGUUGUCCGGAAUUAUUGGGCGUAAAGAGCUCGUAGGCGGUUUGUCGCGUCGGCUGUGAAAACUCGGGGGCUCAACCCCGAGCCUGCAGUCGAUACGGGCAGACUAGAGUGCUGUAGGGGAGACUGGAAUUCCUGGUGUAGCGGUGAAAUGCGCAGAUAUCAGGAGGAACACCGGUGGCGAAGGCGCCACUCUGGGCCGAAACUGACGCUGAGGAGCGAAAGCGUGGGUAGCAAACAGG